AAUAUAUGUAUAUAUAUUUGGAAAAAAGCUUCUUAACAAAAAAAUUGGCUUUCUUUUAUCAGUUUUUGUGGUUUUUAGUUUACAUGAUAACAUGAGUUCUCCAUCACUUGAUUUGAGGUGUCACCCCUAUAUAAUUAAGAAUGCAGUGAACAGACUCAACAUAAAACAAUCAAUUAUCAAAAAUAAUAGUAAAAAGAAGUAAUUAACUGGACAAUGAAAGUUAUUGGUUCAAUAAUCCAUCCACGUGGAGUUUUUUUUUCUUUUUUGGGGAAUGAUCAAUUCGCUGGUGUCUUAUAUAUCUACAGGCUUUCUCUUGGGAUUUAUAUGCAAAACAACAAGGUAAAGAGAGAAGAGGCGAAAAGCUUGGUAAGAGAGAAAGGGAGAUUUUAAGAUUUGCAAAUGUCUUCAACAGUAGUAUCUUCACUUUAUGUAGUUUGCAGUGAUGCAGCUGGGAUUGCAGGUAAAUAAACUAUCAGUUAUAUUCAUUGAUGAAAUUGAUGCUUUAGCAACUAGGAGAAACAAAGAAAUUGUUAAAAGCCAAAGCCUUCCAGCACAGGGUUCAGAGAAACUACAAUUUUCUACACCCUUUCCACAAAAUGGAUGGGAGCAACUUAAGCAUGCCUUUGGAAACAACACUUGUCCUAUUGGAGAAGUCCAAAAUACAACUUAGUAUGGUUGGCAUUUAUUAUUUUAUCUUCUUUGUUGUAUGGAGUCUUACUUCGGCAGAAAUGACAAAACCUGUAAACUGCUUUCUAGAUCUUUUUUCACCCUUUACUAUUAUCGCCAAUCAUUUAACAUCAUGUUCACAUAGCUAGACCAAGAAAUGUUCAUUUAUGAAGCGUCACUAAGAUUUAUCUGAUAGAGUUGACAUAAAAUGUAUGUUCAUAAAGUUGAUCAUUGUCACAACCCCUAAAAAAAUAUGGUUGCUAUAUAUUUUGAUUCCUCUAAGUAAGUUUGUGUUCUUUUACUAGUCUAGCUGAUGAAACUUUCUUGUUCAAUUUGCUAGCUUUACUUACAAGGAUAAAUAGAAUGCCAAAGAGACAAAGAAAAGAUAUUAGUACUAACAACCUGUCUUCUCAUGCUAAAAUCUAAAGAAGAUAGAGGAGGAGAGCGUAAGAGAGUUAGUAAGGACAUACAAAUUAAAAUUUAGCUAAUUAACAAAAAUGUAAGAAAUGUUAUAUCAAGUUAAUUAGUAAGUGAAAUUAGCACACCCUGACGAUUCAUGUUAGAAAAAAAGACAUUACUAUCCUAGCACAUAGUUAUGAAAGUUACUUGGUGUAAAGCGAAACGAAUUGGAUUUUAUAUGAAUGUCAAUUCAUACUAUUUUGUAUCUAUUGAACUGAAGUAAAAACUACAAAUUUUAAUUGCUUGGAGUAUAUUAGAUUAUAUACUUACUGUGUGACAUGCUGGCAUUCUAUUCCCCCUUUCUAAAGACAUGAUGAGCAGGAUUUUUUCUACAUAAUCGGAUCAAUGUAUGUUUUCAUGAUAUUCACUGGAAUAAGCAGUUGUUCAUCUGUUCUUCCAUUCGUGUCUACUCAAAGGACAGUAAUCUACCGUGAAAGAUUUUCCAGAAUGUACUUUUCAUGGGCAUAUUCGUUGGCACAGGUGAUUAUUGAGAUUCCUUAUAUCUUUCUUGAAGCAGUAUUAUUCCUGACAAUCACUUAUCCAGCUACGUCAGGGGAUUUUCAAGGAAACAACAGACCACCUGUAUAAUGCAGCCACUCAGGAGCGGGAAACUACUUUGAAUCAGCUACUAAUAGAGGUUGAGCUUUGUAUUUGUAGGAUCCCAGCAAUGAAAUUUACCUGAAAUCUUUGGAAAUGUCUGCUAAGCAAAGGCAGUAGAAGAUAUAGUGUUAUUGAAUGUGAUCCACUGGUUCACAAAGGACUUAAGAAAACUGUUCAUUGGCAUCUUGUCCUGAUGAGAGUGUAGUUGAUGACGCUUUAAACUUUGCAUUGUCCUCCGAGGUAUUAGAAUUCCUUGUUCAAAACUUAGCAAUUUGUCUUUUAUAAAAGACCUUUGCAUUUUCAGUGUUGUUUAGGUUCGCAAACAAGAUGCUGAAUUUGGACUUGCUGCUAGUAAAAGACUUGCUGUAUUUUAUUUAUAUUUAAUCUAAUUUUUAUUUUUUAUUUUA